rnacentral:rRNA from 1 species
AUUGAACGCUAGCGGGAUGCCUUACACAUGCAAGUCGAACGGAGUGGCGAACGGGUGCGUAAUGUAUCGGAACGUGCCCAGUCGCGGGGGAUAACUACGCGAACUCGUAGCUCAUACCGCAUCCUAUUGGAGCGGCCUAUAUCGGAUUAGCUAGUUGGUGGGGUAACGGCUCACCAAGGCGACGACCCGUAGCUGGUUUGAGUGGACGACCAGCCACACUGGGACUGAGAAACGGCCCAGACUCCUACGGGAGGCAGCAGUGGGGAAUUUUGGACAAUGGGGGAAACCCUGAUCCAGCCAUCCCGCGUGUGUGAUGAAGGCCUUCGGGUUGUAAAGCACUUUUGGCAGGAAAGCGGUACCUGCAGAAUAAGCACCGGCUAACUACGUGCCAGCAGCCGCGGUAAUAC